CUGGGAAUAAUAAAAUGUUUUAUCAUCCAUGCUUCCAUGGCAACCGAUGAUAAUACAGUUUCAGAAUGGAAUGAGCUGCUUUGAAGACACGUGACAUCAGCCACAUAAAGGUGAAGGGGGCCUUUGACUGGAUUUUGUGACGGCUGAUGCCAAAUGUUCCGGUUCAGUUCAUGUCGUGCAGUCGUGUCAUUGUAUGGUCAGUAUCAGCAUGGUGCUGUAUGAGCAGACAGCGGCAUCACUGCGGAGGAAGAAGCUUCCCUGAACAGUCAGAGAGAGCUGUGUGGAGCCGGGCGAGUCAGGGGAAAUCAGCCAGACUUCUUCAAAUGGUUUAUGUGCCAACGCAGGUCAACACAGGGCGCUACGCAGCCG
ensembl:lncRNA